rnacentral:rRNA from 1 species
CUUCCUACGGGAGGCAGCAGUGGGGGAUAUUGCACAAUGGGGGGAACCCUGAUGCAGCGACGCCGCGUGGGUGAAGAAGCGCCUCGGCGCGUAAAGCCCUGUCAGCAGGGAAGAAAAUGACGGUACCUGAAGAAGAAGCCCCGGCUAACUACGUGCCAGCAGCCGCGGUAAUACGUAGGGGGCAAGCGUUAUCCGGAUUUACUGGGUGUAAAGGGGGCGCAGACGGCGAUGCAAGCGAGGAGUGAAAGACCGGGGCACAACACCGGGACUGUUCUCGGAAGUGCGUGGUUGGAGUGUAGGAGGGG